UGUUUAGAAUUUAAAUAUAUUUAAAAUUAUUCUUUAACAGAAUCAUAUUUCUUUAUUUUGAAGGAAUAAAUGUAUUAUAACUCAACUACAUAUUAGCUACAAACAUUUGCAUUGCAAUCCUGGGUUUGAACUUCUCACAUUGUUUGUUACUUUUGAAUCAAUAUUUGAAUGCUUAGAUUCUUCCAAUAGGAGGCAAUCAGACCUAAUAAAAAAUAUCUGCACUGAAUGUUUUUUACCAUUCAGGGUCAGCUAUAUGAGAAUUGCAUAUUAAAGUCAAAGGAGAAAACUCAUCUCAAAACAAAAAUUUCUGUCAAACCAGUAUCUGAUUGAUAUGUAAGCAUAUUUUCAGUUAGGAACUUCCCAAAACAGGAAAAAUAUGCAAAAUGUUUUGGAUAUCCAGCCCUUAAAUAGCCCAUAGGCAUAGGUACAGAAAUAGUGAAGCCUAACAAAUAUUGGAAUGGCUUUUGAUUCAUUGAGGUAAUGAAAAGGAUAUUUGUAAUUUUUAAUUAGUUCAAAUUAGGAACAAACUUGCUCCACAUAUCAAUCCCUUCUCCCUUUCCCUCUCCUCCUCCAAAUCCCCUACCAUGCCCCACCCUACCCACCUCCACUCCCCAGUGCCCUCCAUGCCACUCCCCAAAGUCCACCACAUCAUCCUGGGUCGGGCCUAUGCCCUCCCCCAUGUGUCCAGGCCAAGAGAGUAUACCUUCUCCUGGGAUGGGUUCUCAAUGUCCCUUCUUACACCAGGGAAAAAUAUUGAUUUACUACCAGGGACCACAUAGAAUGCUAAGGCCUCCUCAUUGACAUCCAUGUUCAGGGGUCUGUAUCAGUCCCAUGCUGGCCUCCCAGACAGCAGUCUGGGGUCCAUGCGCUCCCCAUUGUUCAAGUCAGCUAUUUCUGUGGGUUUUACCAUGCUGGUCCAAACCGCGUUGAUCUUCAUUCUUCCCUCUCUGCUACUGGGUUCCAGAGUUCACUUCAAUGUAUAGCUGUGGCUGUCAGCAUCUGCUACCAUCAGCCAUUGGAUGAGGACUUUAGGAUGGCAUAUGAAGUAGUUGUAAGACUCAGUAUAGGGGAAAGGCAUUUAGGGUAGCCUCUCCACCAUUGCCUAGAUUGUCAGUUGGUGUCAUCCUUGUAGAUCUCUGUAAAUCUCCCUAGUGCCAGAUCUCUCCUCUGACCUAUAAUGGCUCCCACUAAUAUGGUAUCUCUCAUCAUGCUCUCCUGUAUUCUUCCCCCAACUCAACCUUUCUGCUCUUCUAUUUCCUCCUCUCCCCUCCUUUUCUCCUCCUCUUAUUCUCCCAGCUCCCUCUCCCUGAACCUCAUGCUCCCAAUUAGCUCAGGAGAUCAUGGAUACUUGUAAUUUUUAUUCAGAAUUAUUUGUCAUGUGGUACUACUACUGUUCCCGUGGAUGGGCGCAUAUUGAUACAAAUACAGCUGCAUUAAAUAAAAUCUGUUCUUAUCGAAGAUAAAAGAAGAUAAGAUUCAGAAGUUAAAGUGAUUUUUGAAGAUGGAGAGAAAUAUUUUUAUUGGCCAAUUUGUGGAUUCUUCAAAAGAACAGGUUCAUCAAAUAAUAUUAAUGAAUAUUUUAUGAAUUUGAAGUGAAUGUAAGAAACAAAAACAUGAUGUAAAAAUGCAAUUGUAACAGCAAUAAACUAUUAGGUUUUAAAAGAGACAAAAUUAUUCUUGAGAGUUCAUUACAUUUAUAACUCUUUUAAAAUAAGUAAAUAUGAAUUUAUUUAUUUUUAUGAAGGCAAUGAUAGAGACUAUGUUCCAAUAAGGUCAAUUUUGAAGAAGGUUUGCAAAAAGGAUUUUAUCUUCAAUCCAAACAGAUUUUCUUUAGCAGUCUGAUGUAUAAAUAUACAUCUAUCUAUCUAUCUAUCUAUCUAUCUAUCUAUCUAUCUAUCUAUGUGUGUGUAUUUAGAAAUAUGAGAGAAAUAGCAUUAUAAUUCAUAUCCACACAAAUAUAUUUAUAAAUUUUAAUGUUGCAAUAUUAUGUAUUACAUAAUUAAUAUAAAAUAUAUUAUACAUAGAUUUAAAGUGCCUAAAACAAAUAUGGAAAAUUAGAAAAAAUAGAUCACGGAGAUUAUGCAUCCAGGAACACUGGGUAUUCCAGUGUCACUAUCAUGGAAAUCCUGACAGACAUAAGACUGGCUGGUAGAUAGCUAUUGUCUUGUAAAAACAUUUAGAAAUUUGCUCAGCCAUCAGGCACCAUUAGGCAGUGCUGUCUACUGCUAAAUAGCAGCAUGAUGCAUUUGGAAAUGACAUUUCAUCCUGUCUUCCCAAUUCUAUUCCCCUGCUUCUUUCACACAAACAGGAAGGAGGGUGAGAGAGAUAAUUCAUCAGCUCUUUUGGAUAUCUCUACGAACUUCAGUGUUUUGUUUCCAUGUCUGGGGUUGAGAUCUCUCUCCUGAUUUGUCCCGAACGCAUCUCUAAAUGCAUGCCAUCCUCCAAUAUGAGGCAUUCACAUCUAAUAAAAAUGAGAGUACUGGAGGAUUUUUCCAGUCAGGUUCAUGGCUAAAGUCCAGUUAAGAGCUGGAAAUGAGCCAAAGCCUGCCUGUGAACAACCCCAGAGGAGGGAAACUGUUCAGGAAACAUGCAUGAGGCAGGGGCAAUUAAAACCUAAGAUAGGGUAGAUGAUGAGUAGGAUUUUCCUCAAUGCUGCCAUGAGAAACUGCUCCUGUUUGCUGAGAAAAAAAUGUGCCACAGCUUCAGACUUAGUAUCUCUGAUUUCUUAUUAUGUCUUGGGUCCUACAUUUAGUGCAAGAACAUUUACUUUUAAUCAAUACUUGGCCGAAACCAGAUAUGUGUUGAACAAAUUUGCUCUUAGAGGACACAGGAUAAAUGGCUAUGAUUGGCAGCAUUCUUACUUAGCCAUCUGAAUCUCUGUGACUUUCAAAUAUGUGCAUCUGUGGAAUCUGACAUGACAUCAAAAAACAAUACAAGCCAGUUGAAAUAGGCAGCACAGAAUCAUAAUCAGCCAUCAGCAGUAAGAGAUGGAAGAUUUCAUCUAGAUAGUAUGGGUAUAGGCAUAAGUAGGUGGAUAUAUGUUCAUGCCUACUUACACCAGGAUGUUUUUAUUAUUUGUUUAUUAUAUUCACCACAUAGGAAAAAUUAUAUUAUCUAGUAUCAUCUGCUUUCUAUUUCAUGGUUCCUGUGGCAGCACACAUUUAUUUGGAAGGGGGAAAUUAAUCAGCAUCUCUGAAGAAGUCCUCCAAGAUACCUCAGAAAUUUGUUCCAUUGACGAAAUUGAGAGGACUCUUCCUAUUGGUCCAGCUUCCAAGCCAAUUUGAAUGCACACAGAGCUUCAGAGUGAGCCAAGGAGAGUUAAUAUGUUGUCAGAAUUGCAGGUUUUUACCAGGCAGGUUGUACCUAUAUUCCAAAACUCAAUUGCUCCUGGGCAUAACAAAAUCUUGCUGUGUAUUAACCCAGACAAAGGCAACUAAUUGUUCCUGAUAUAUGCAGGAUACAGAAUUCAUAUGAAUUAGUAAAUUCUAGGAUUAUUUGAUUCCUUGUAGCACAGCUGUGAUUAACCUGAUUCCGUCACUUCUACAGCAAUGAGAUCCCUGCUUAUUGGACUACUUAUUUUCUUGAAAAAGGUUAAAACUAUUUCUCAAAGCUGAAGUUCUGCAUUACAUGAAUUAAAAAUUCUUAAAUCUGAGCAUUUAUUAUUUGACAUAGACUAUGAGAAUCCAAUUAUGUCCUCAUCCAUGAGGGAUCCAUUGUGUGAACUGUUAUUACAUUGUACUUUUUUUCAUGAAAUUUUGAAUGACUGAAAAUACAAGAAUAACAUCUGUAAAAGUGCAUGUGAAGGAUAUAGACAGAUCUGAACCCCUUGCAUAAACGAAGAUUGGGUUGUAAUAAACUUCAAUCAACCAGAAUCAUUCACCAGAGAAGGGUACACAGGCUUUAUCAGGAUUCAUAUUGAAAAUGUCUGUAAAACUUUUGUGUAAUUCCCUGCACUCCACCACCAUAUACCAAAUAACAAUCUUUGUUCUGGUAGUUUCAUGUCAUAGAAUAAAUUCCUCCCAGUACAUGGGUAACAGGAAAUCACAGAGCAUAUUCUUGAUGCCUUAGAUCUGUACUAUUGAAAGCAAAAUGAUCAGGAUAGAAGACAAUAGGUGACUCAAACUUCAUCCUUUAAAAUUUAGAGUGUCUUUUCAUCCCUUUAAUCUGUUACAUAACUCAAAUACUGAAAUUAAUGUACAACAAAUAUUCAUAUGCUGUUUAUAUAAUCAUGAAUUUAAAAUGAGUAUAGCAUUUACCUUCAUUUCCUCAUUUGUAUACUUUUUAUUCUGAGGCAAAACAUUAAUAUAUAUAUAUAUAUAUAUAUAUAUAUAUAUAUAUAUAUAUAUAUAUAUCAAGAACAGACUGUUCUCACAUCGCAAUGACUAGGUAGAUUAUAAUACAAAUAAUUACAUAACCAGGAUAAGGAAAAAAUACUUCAAAGUGAGGAAUGAAAAUUAGUGAUCAGUACAUUUUCUAGGUUAAAUGCAAACAUGUUAAAGUCAUGGUGCUUUAAUGGGAGUUCAUAUCAAAUGAGGACCCAUUCACUACCUAAGCCCAAAUGUUACCUUUUUAUGUGUGAUAUCCUAACAAUUAGUAAAGACUUUAUGAUGCAGUAUAUUUGACUUUUCUAUUUUCAGUAUUUUUAGUUUUAUAAUCCAUGGUCCAAUGUCAUUUACAGUAAUGACUAUUCUCCAUCAGAAACUUUGAACAUAUUUCCAGCAGUAUGAAAUCUCUUCCAAAAGGACAGAAUUUUGUUAAAUCAGGAUGAUUGUCUUGUCUCAGUUUAGGAGUACCAGAAUUUUUUUAAAGCUUUUUCAGACUUCCGUGGAAACUCUGGACACAGGAAGGAAUUUGGAGGCAGUAUUUUGAGUCACAGCAAACAAUUCCCAAAUAGCCACACCAAGUUUUAUCAUUAUUAAUAAAUUUUCAGCCAAUGAUACAAUCUUGUUAUUGGCUAUUACAUUUUAAAUUAUUCCAUAGAUUUUUCUUUUGUAAUUUUUAUUUAAAUUAGAAACAAGAUUGUUUCACAUGUCAAUCCUUGAUCCCUCUCUCUCCCCUCUUCCCCUGCCUCCCACUCACCUCCAACCUAUCCUGUAUAAUUUUUGCUCCCCAGGGAGGGUUAGACCUUCCAUGGGAAAUCUUCAGUGUCUAUCUAAUCCUUUGGGAUAGGGUCUAGGCCCUCCCCAGUGUGUCUUUCUCAGGGAGUAUCCCUCUAUGUGAAAUGGGAUCCUAAAUUGCAUUCCUAUGCUAGGGAUAAGUACUGAUCUACUACCACAGGCCCCAUUGGUUUCUGAGGCCUCCUCACUGACAGCCAAGUUCAUAGAGUGUGGAUCAGUCCUAUUCUGAUAGUUUCCCAGCUAUCAGUCUGGGGACCAUAAACUCCCUCUUGUUCAGGCAGCUUUCACCAGUCUGGUCUGGACCCCUUUGCUCAUCACUCUUCCUUCUCUGCAGCUGGAUUCCAUUUCAGUUCAGUGAUAAGUUGUGGGUGUUUGCUUCUACUUCCACCAUGGAUGAAGGCUAGAUUAUAGGAUGGCAUAUAAGGUUGUCCUCAAUCUCAUUAUCAGGGGAUGGAAUUUCAGGUAGCCCCUCUUCUGUUGCUUAGAUUGUUUGUUGGUAUCAUCCUUAUGCCUGAUUUCUCUUUAAACCUAUAAUGGCUCCCUCUCUGAUGGUAUCUCUUAUCUUGUUCUCCUCUCCUGCUCCCUCAUGUCCUCCUCACCCCUCAUUAUCCUAGUUUCCUCUACUUUCACCCAUGUUCCUAAUUAGCUCAGGAGAUCUUGUCCCUUUCCCCUGCUCAGGGGGCCCAUUUAUGUCUCACUUAGAGUCCUCCAUGUUUCCUAGCUUCUCUGGAAGCUUGGAAUGUAAGCUGGUAAUCCUUUGCUCUAUGUCUAAAAUCAAUAUAUGAGUGAGUAUAUGCCAUAUUUGACUUUUUGAGAUUGGGUUACAUCACUCAGAUUGGUUUCUUCUAGUUCCAUCCAUUUGCCUGUGAAUUACAAGAUUCCGUUGUUUUUGUUUGUUUGCUUGUUUUGCUGAAUAGUAUUCCAUUGUGCAAAUGUACCAUAUUUUCUCUGCCCAUUCUUCAGUUAAGUGGCAUCUAUGUUGCUUCCUGAUUCUGUCUGUUUCAAAAAAUUGCUGCUAUGAACAUAGCUGAACAGAUGUGCUUGUUGUAUGAAUGUGCUUCUGUUGGGUAUAUGCCUAAGAGUGGAAUUGCAGUAUCUUGUGGUAGACUGAUUCCCAUUUUCCUGAGGAAUCACCAUUCUGAUUUCCAAAAUGGCUGUACUCGUUGGGACUUCCACCAGCAGAGGAGGAGUAUUCCCCUUUCUCCAUAAACUGUCAUCUGUGUUUUUGAUUUAGCCAUUGUGACAUGUGUAAGAUGGUAUCUCAGAUUUGUUUUGUUUGCAUUUCCCUGGCAGCUAAGGAUGUUGAGCACUUUCUUAUUGUCCUUCAGCCAUUUUAUGUUCCUCUAUUGAGAAUUCUCUAUUUCGUUCUGUUAUUUAUUUUUUAUUCAUUUUUGGGGGGGACCAAGUUUCUUGAUAUCUUUGCAUAUUUUGGAGAUGAGCCCUCUGUCACAUGUGUUGUUGGUGAAUAUAUUUUCUCAUUGUGUAGGCUGUUUUGUCUUGUUGACUGUAUCCUUUGCCUGCAGAAGCUUCUGAGUUUCAGGCAGUCCCAUUUAUUGAUUGCUGAUCUCAUUCUCUGUGCUAUUGGAAGCAGUCUCUUGUGCCAAUUUGUUCAAGGCUACUUCCCAUUUUCUCUUCUAAUCGGUUCAGUGUAGAUGGAUUUAUGUUGAGGUCUUUGAUCCAUUUGGACUUAAGUUUUGUGCAUGGUGAUAGACAUGGAUCUAUCUGGCAUUCUACUACAUGCCAGCAUCCAGUUAUGCCAGCACCUUCUGCAUGUGUAAUGGUACAUUUUCUCAUUAAACAUGUUCAUCUCCCUUUCUGUACUUGUGCUUCAUGUUUCUGAGUCUCCUCCAUUCUUUACAGCAACCUCUUGUAUUGUUAUCCCACCUAAACUCAUCCUACCUAGAUCCAAGACUCUCAGACUUUUUACUAAUCCAAUGAAAUUGACAUAUAUUCACUUAAAGUAUAUGAAUGUUCCACCCCUUGUAAUUUCCUUUUCACACAAACUCCCUUUUAUUACAUUUUAUUUAGAUGCUGAUGGAAACAUAAAAAAUCAUCCUUACCAUCUGUUUUAAGAUUUAGGAUUCAAAUCUCUUAAUGAAAAGAGUAGGAAAUAAUAUUUUAUGUAUAUAUUAAGUCUAAAUAUCUGUAUUUGUUCCCUAAAUAUGUCACAUAUUAAGCAGUGAAAUUAUUUUCAGAUCUCAAGCCUAUAACCUGAACAACACCCACAAUAACUUAGAAUGUAAACCUGCAUAGUUGAUGUUAAUUUCAUACUUCAGGCUUGUCCAUGAUCUACAUCUUCCCUAACAUAUGGGAUGAAAGUUAGAAAAUGCUAAGUGCAUUCCAAAACAUGUCAGCAUGCUAAAUAUGCUAUGUUCAACCAAGAAGUUGCCUCAAUGGCUAUAUCUUAUGUGGUACUGAGCGUAAGGAAGGCAGGUGUCUGUGAUAUAGACUGGGAAACUGUGUCAAAUGCAAGUUUCAUGCACAGGAUAAGAUGCUGUCCUAACUUUUAUUCAUUCCACAAAUUUUAAAGUAUAUACAUGAGAUUCCCACAUUCAGUUAAAACUUAGAACACAAAUGCAUCUAAAACUGAUAUUUUAUAUUCUGUAAUUUUCAUAUCAAAGAAAUUUUCUUUAAAAUUCCCCUGAAGGCCACUUUUCUUAUUCAAGCUGGCCCUCCUUUUUUGGUGACAUGAUGAGAGAAGAACAACAUAAUUUCAUAGAGUAAAACACAGUGAAUAUGAUUUUUUCCAUAAAUUAAAGAAAACAUGACAAAUUGAAACAAUUCAGUAAAUAUUAUUUUUCUCUCUACUACUUACAAUCACUCAAAAACAAAAUCACAAUUUAGUAAAAUGUAGUUUUAUUAAAUAUUGUCAUUUGGUUGUACAUUGUUUACCCAAUACCUUAAAAGUACAUAUCGAUGAAUACAGGAAAAGCACCUGUAUAUUUCAUCGGUGCUUAUUGAAGUCCCAUUAUUUUAAUCUAAACUUCACAUGGAGGCAGAGACUGAGUGUACAUGAGAUACCUCAUGUCCUCCUCAUAUUGCAUGGUAUAAAUAGGGAUAGCAGCAGAAUAGCCUAGGCAUUUUCCCAUUUCCUAACACUUAUAUCUAGUAUUCAGAAAAUAGAAUUUAAAACUGGAAGAAGACAGAGGACCACGGGAUAAGUAGGGUGGGAGAUGGAUACAAUGAUCUAUGGAUCAUUAUGACUCUUUUGUCAUUAUAUUUUUGAAUUUUUGUACAAGGCAAACUGUAUAACUAUACCAAUCUGGCCUUAAAACCAUUCACAGAUUCAAGAAUGAUGUAACACUUUGUGUUACAUUGUUAAAUAUAUUACAUAUGUUCAUUACCUUAAUCAAGAAUACAAAUCUAUAUAAAGUACAUUGAUGUCAUGUCCUAAUGAAGUCAGGGCUGUGGAAUGACUGGUCUAGUUGCUCACUUCAUGGGGCUGAGUGUCAUGGUGAAUAUUGACAACUCAGACCCAACUUGUAGUCACCAGAAGGAAACACACUGACUAGUGGAGACCUGCGAUGCAGAUUCUCACUUUAUUGUAACAGGCAUGUGCUUAUAUAGAGUUGAGAAAGUGGGUAGAACCUCAGCAUAAGGUGAGGUGUAAGGUCCAAUAAUAUCUCACCCCACUAGCAGUAGCUGGGCAGAGGCAGUUUUGCUGAGACGGGUAGUCAAAUUAUAGCCAGGCCCAGGAAGCUCCACUAGGCCUUGCAUCCAGGCCUUUUUAGACCCAACAAUCCCCCCUUUUUUGUAAUGACAAGGGAAGAUAUGGCACCUUAGGUUUUCUCCAUGGAAUUUACAAAUUCACAUCCAUUCUCUAUCCAGCAUACAUCAGGAACAGUUACUUGUCUUUGUUUGGGAUUUUGUUAUACCCAGUAGCAACUGAGUUUUGGAAUACAGCCAGUGCCUACCUUGUAAUAACCUGCAAUCCUGACAGAUAAUGGCCUGUGCCACUUUUAGUUGAUUAUGAGGGUGCAGGGAUCCCCCCUUCUGUUUUUCUAAUUGAGCCUUGAGUGUUGGUUAUAUCUUUUGACAAUGCCCUGGCCCCAACAUGUAUGUUACAUGUAUGUUACAUGUACGACACAUGUAUGUAACAUGUAUGUUACAUGUAUGUAACAUGUAUGUCACAUGUAUGUUACAUGUAUGUUACAUGUGUGUUACAUGUAUGUAACAUGUAUGUUACAUGUAUGACACAUGUAUGUUGGGGAUUAUGUGGGAUGCCUUUGGAAUAUGAAAUUGUUCUGGUAUACCAAUUUUUUUUUUAUAAAGCACAGGCCAGUAUCUGUCUUAAUUUAAUCAGAUAAUCCAAGAGUGGCAAAAUAUUGAAGAAUAUGGCUGAGAGCAUGAUUUGAUUUUUCCCUAUUGUUUGAUGAAGUCCAGCAGGAAAGGGAAAAUGUAUCAACUGAAAGGAAAAUAUACUUACUUUUCUCAAAAGGGGAGUAGUGUGUGACAUCUACAUGCCAAAUGUUGUUGGGGUGAAGCCCCUGGGAUUGCUUCCAAUGGUCUGGAGAGGAGGCAACUGGAGAGGAGGCCUGGCAAUAUUUGCAAGUUCUGACUAUCUUUUUGAGACUUUUCACUGGUAUGUGUGGGAACUUGUUUUUAAGGAGUCUCCAAUUAAUGUGGAUUAAUGAGUGGAAAUUUGUGGUCUCUGCCACAGUGUUGCAUUGUGGUGUAGAAGUCAUUUUGUCAGCUAACCUAUUUCCCUCAUAGAGGAAACCUUGUAAAUUCUGAUGCCCUCUGAGGUGUUUAAGGAAGGUGGAGUUUAUUCUUUAAGUAACAACUGAGCCAUGAUGGGAAAUAGAAUUAGAGUCUAAUUUAAUCUAAGCUUCAACCAAACUGGGAAGUAAAUUUACAACACCAAUACUAUUAGAAUAUAAAGUAAAGGGCUGUUUUACAAUGUCCAAGGCAAGGACCACAGCAAAUACUUCUUUGAACAGUGCAGAUCCCUCAACUUCAUGGGAGAUGGAAUUGAUGGCAGUUGGCUUUUUGUCAUGUUUAAAGGACGGGUAUAUCACCAGGGAGGGAUACACAUGUACUCCAUCAGUAAAUAUGGCAAGGAAAUCAGGGUUGGAUUGAGACAAGAAAAGCCUGUGGGGCCUCCACUCCAUUGUGAGAAGGAUCUCAUCUAUUUAUGAUGGUCAUAGUCACAAUAAGUUUUAACCAUAAACCACCUAAGGCCUUGGCAAUUCUGCUGUUUUUUUUUUCUUUGAAACCAGGUGAAGUCUGUUGUCUUAAAGGGUUUAGUAAGGACAAGGAUGGUGUUGAACAUGGUCUUUAUGUCAAUUAUGGUCAUCCAAGUGGCCAUUCACUAACCCAGAGAGUAAUGGUAUCAUUUGUAUAACUCUUUUGGGUCUCCCUAUCAAAUGAGGGUAUGAGAAGAUCCUCAUCUAUGGGGAUGAUAUCUCCAUUGGGGAUUAAGGUGGCCAGGACACAUAGGCCCAUCCAAUUGGUGGGCAGGAAGUCAUAGGGCAUCUUGGCCCCACAAAGACCAUCCUUGUGGGAAUAUAGUGCUGCAUAUUGGGCUGGGAUGUGUUGAAAUCACUGUUCAGCAAGCCAGGAAGGAACUUUUUUGUAAGCUUUUUUUCAACUCUCUCUUUAAUGGACGCCAGGUCCUCACUAUCUUUUUGAGGAGUUCCUGAGACAGGGGCUUGAGUCAGACACACCCCGGUUUUCUCCAUGCUGCCAGCCUUAUGGCUUGAGCUUGAUCCCAAUGCAGAUCAGGAAUGGCAGCCUGAUGAAUUCCAGUACUGAAGAGAAUUAUUCAGCAGUGCCUGAAAGCAACAGAAGGUGAAAGGGAAUAGAGGCAGAGUGGCCAUAGGUACAGGGUGAAAUAGAAGCAUAUGGGAGCUUCAGAGCCAUUAACUCCUUACUACCUUAAGAGGUCAAAAUGGCCACACCUGUGAGCGUAUCUGAGAACCUUCUGAGAAAAAGAAAUGACUAGCACCUGCCCCCUAGCCAUGGGUAGAGGAUUUGUGCCUACUCCCACGUGUGUACACCUAAUCACAGCCCAAACGCUUAGGAGAAAAGGUAGGGGUUGCCUCUGAAAAGUGAGUUUGCUCCUUAGGAUAUGAUUCCAAGAAGAUAUUUUGAUGGCAAGAAACAGUCUCUUGUAUACCUGGGCUUCCCAUGGGGACCAGUGGUUGAGCGAUUGCCACUGGGGUUAACACAGGAAAGAGAUUGGUUAUAUACCCCCUCAGAGGUGCCAUCCCCUGAUAGGGUUUCAGUAUGGAGUAACUUGAAAAGGAUUAGUAGCAGGAUAUUGGGAGUAUGGCUCCUUGGCAGGCCAGUGUGGGCUCCCGAAAGGGUUUAGGGGUGGAUAACGGGGCUCAGGUUGGCAUAAGGUACUGGGGUUUGGUUUUAAUAAGAACUGUCCCAUAAUUUAUGGGUGUAAACUCACCUGAAGAUCGACUGGCUUGCCUGUGUUCUUCCCUUAGAGAGAGACAUGUCCCUGUUCUGGUACCACUCUGCCAGGUCCCGUGCAGUUGGAACUAUUGAAAAGGCUGCUCCAGACAGUCACUUUCCAGGGCUGAUCUGGAUGGUGUGUUUUGACAACACAGAGUCUUUUCCUAGUCAUUGGAGAGAACCACACUAAGUCUUGGAGACCUUCCAAAGCAGAGUGGCUUUAUUUUAACAGGCAUGCACGUAUAUAGAGUUGAGGAAGUGAGUGGGUCUUCAGGAUGGGGUGACAUAAGAGGGCCAAUAAUAUGUGACCACACCAGAAGUAGCUGGCCAGAAUCAGUUUUCCUGAGAGAGGUCACUAAACUUUAACCAGGUGCUGGAAGUUCCAUUAGGCCUUGUGUAUUGGCCUUUUUUAGGCCGAAUGCAUUGCAACAAAAAUAACCUUGAAUUUGUAUCAAUAAACAAAAUCCAUAGAAAUGUAAUGUAUUUGAGGAUUGUAGUUCCCUUUUAUUCGAAAUGUAAACUCAAUAAUCUAACCAAUAUCCUGAGCCCCAUCCUGAAUGGUGCUGAAAAACAGAAUCUGAGCAAUGUAUCCCCACUUCAACCUUAAGACAAAUGCUGAAAUAUUUCAGGAAGUGCAAUAAGAAUCAGUACUUGAAAUAUGGUGCUGGAAAGAACAGAAGAGUUCCUGGAAUUCAUGAAGGUGUGUCAUUUUUUCAUCAAAGCCCUUUGGCUGCUGUGAUGGGGCAAUCAUCUGCUUCCUAUUGCGAAUAAAAUCUUUGCUUGACUUGUGUAUCAUUAUCCUCAUUGCAUUAAAUAUCAGGAAGGAUCAGGAGAGUAUUAUUUGAUAAUCCAUAUGCUCCUCCCACUUGUUAUAUCCAAAUAUACCAUAACUGAAUUUAGCCUUUAGUGGGUAUUGAGUUUACAGGCCAAGGAGUCCUAGGGUGGAAAGUGAGAUCAUUGGAACAAUGAGAAAGCCAUUGUCCUUGUGGGUUAAGACAUUCUGUUGCAUCUUUUGGGUGGGAGCUCAUAGAUAUAAGAUAGCAGCCAAUCACCAACACUAUGUAAAUAAGCCUAAUGAAAUAAUUCAUUCACUUGAUAGAUCCUUGGUAGAAUUCUAUUUAAACUUCUUGUUUUGUCAUUAUGUGGAAAGGUAGACAACAGACAAAACUUCUUACACUGCAUAUUGGAA
rnacentral:lncRNA from 1 species